rnacentral:rRNA from 1 species
UACGAAGGGGGCUAGCGUUGUUCGGAAUUACUGGGCGUAAAGCGCGCGCAGGCGGCUAUCCAAGUCAGUGGUGAAAGCCCGGAGCUCAACUCCGGAACUGCCAUUGAAACUGUUUAGCUUGAGGACGAGAGAGGUGAGUGGAAUUCCCAGUGUAGAGGUGAAAUUCGUAGAUAUUGGGAAGAACACCGGUGGCGAAGGCGGGUCUCUGGGCCGUUACUGACGCUGAGGAGCGAAAGCGUGGGGAGCAAACAGG